AUGGUCUUCUUUUCUAGAUGACCCAGAGACCAACCUGGCUGCCGCAUUCUGAAUCAACUGCAAUUUCCAGACUAUGUGCAAAGGCAGCCCCACAUAAAUCACAUUGCAAUAUUCCAGCCUAGAGGUUACCAGCAUAUGUACCACCUUUUUGAGGUCAUUCAUCUCAACCUCAAGAUGACACAGCUGGCGUAUCAGCCGAAGCCGAUAAAAAGCACCUCUGGCCACCGCCUCAGCCUCCUUCUCCCCAUGAUGUUGACAUGGAGAAAUAGAUUUGGGAAUCAUCAGCAUAUUGAUAACACCCUGCACUAAAUCUCCUGAUAAUCUCUCCCAGCGGUUUCAUGUAGAUUUUAAACAUUGGAGACAAUAUGGAGCCCUGAGGGACACCAUACCGAAGUUCAGAUUUUGAAGAACAACAAUCUCCAAGAGACACCAUCUGGAAUCUGCCCAUGAGUUUUGUUGAAGUGUCUUAUGUUGGCUGGGUUCUUGGUGGAAUUUAAAGCCAUGCAGAUGAGAAGAGAUGAAUGUUACUGGGCAGCUGCUAAAGAUCCAGGACCUUCAGAUGGACCCACUGCUGAUCCCUGAGGCCACCAUUAUGCCAAUAGCCUUCAAGUCAAUCCAGCCAGAUACUUCUCAUCUGAUCAUUGCGCAGGGCACAGGGUGUCUUCUGAACAGACCUAGCAUUCUGAAAACCAACACAAAUCAAAACACGUCAGGUUGUUGCAUUGAGGCUAAAGGAAACUGGAAGCGUAUUGAACUGGUCUUGCUUUAGAGGUCUGAUCCAAACCAAUGGCAAUCUUUCCAUUGGCUCCCAUGAACCUUUAAUCAAGCUGAAGUUGAUUACAGUUUGCUGCGGUUUUUCAAACCUUGGCUUGUUCCUACGGCAAGUUUCUCCUCAUCCAUCCCACCCAUUUCUGGCCUAUACAAAUGCAGAGAAGGCAGGGUGCCCCUGCCCCACCUCCUGCUUCUUAUUGGUGUGGCUGCUGUUUCCUGUGGCAUGGUGCCCCUGCUUCCUGCUUGCCUUCCAGGUUGCUUAAAGGAUACCUUCCUCUUCUGUCCAGGUGUGUGAACUAUGGUGAUUCUUUGAAGACAUCUUUUAAUCCCUGUCAUUUGAUUGUCCCUUGCUGAUUGUCCAUUGAAGACAUCUGUCUGGCUUAAAAUGAAAUGGCCUCCUGGGAGUCUAGCUCCAUCUGUUUCUUCUGAAAUAUAUAUUAAAAAUAUGAUGUAAUGGAACAUUAUUUAUUUGCUCACUGAGGAAAUUGAGUUUAAUAUGAUGAAUGAAUGAACGAAUGAAUUAAGGA